rnacentral:rRNA from 1 species
GACGAACGCUGGCGGCGUGCUUAACACAUGCAAGUCGAGCGGUAAGGCCCUUUCGGGGGGUACACGAGCGGCGAACGGGUGAGUAACACGUGGGUGACCUGCCCUCAGCUCUGGGAUAAGCCUGGGAAACCGGGUCUAAUACCGGAUAUGACUCCAUGACGCAUGUUGUGGGGUGGAAAGCCUUGUGCGGCUGAGGAUGGGCCCGCGGCCUAUCAGCUUGUUGGUGGGGUGANGGCCUACCAAGGCGACGACGGGUAGCCGGCCUGAGAGGGCGACCGGCCACACUGGGACUGAGACACGGCCCAGACUCCUACGGGAGGCAGCAGUGGGGAAUCUUGCGCAAUGGGCGAAAGCCUGACGCAGCGACGCCGCGUGAGGGAUGACGGCCUCGG